rnacentral:misc_RNA from 1 species
GAUGAAGAACGCAGCGAAAUGCGAUAAGUAGUGUGAAUUGCAGAAUUCAGUGAAUCAUCGAAUCUUUGAACGCACAUUGCGCCCCUUGGUAUUCCAUGGAGCAUGCCUGUUCGAGCGUCAUUUGUACCUUCAAGCUUUGCUUGGUGUUGGGUGUUUGUCCCGAGGGACUCGCCUUAAAGUAAUUGGCAGCCAGUGUUUGGUUUUGAAGCGCAGCACAAGUCGCGAUUCAAGGCUACACGCCCGCUUCCACAAGCCUUUUUUCACUUUUGACCUCGGAUCAGGUAGGGAUACCCGCUGAACUUAAGCAUAUCAAUAAGCGGAGGA